ACAAAGCCAGCCUCUCAAAAUGAAAAUCCUUUUGACCCACAUUCUAAAAACAAAUCUCUCUUGUUCUUAAAUACUCUCACAAACCUUCUUCAAAAAAAUCACCUCAUCGCCCAAUUGUUUUUUUGUUUGUUUGUUUGUUUAAGCUCUAAAACUUCAUUUGUGAAUGGUGGAAACGAAUCAAAGUGACUGUAAUUUAAUGCUCUCCCUUCGUAAUUCAAGGGCGAGCACUAUCUGUUCUUGUAAACAAGGCUGGUAUUAUCAUCGCAUCGGCCUCGAUCCAUAAACCCUUUUUUUUUUUUAAUUUUUUGAAAAAAAAUAGAAGAAACCCAUUGCUUUUCGUCGCGAUUUUUAGUGGAUUUUGAUUUGAUUUUUUGAAAAAAAGAUUGUUCACAAUAAGCAGAAGAAGAAUCAGGGUUGUAAAGGCGAUAGGUUAUUGAUUAGCGUCUCUGUUUUGGGAAGUUCCGGUCCGAUCCGGUUCGUUGUUAAUGAAGGAGAACUGCAUUGAGUCCAUGCGAGACAAUUGGAUCAAUAGGGGCAAGGAAUUUCAUGCAAUGCAAGAAGCCAAGCACUGAGAAGAAAAUAGAAAAUAAUGGAAGGACCAAUGAAGCAAUUUCUAGAAAAGCAACUGGGAAUUGGAAAGCUUGGAUUAAUAAGUCCCUCAACCUUAAAAUUUAUUCCCAUUAAUUCAUUAUUCUUUUAUUUAUUAAUUUUUUUUAAUCUUUAUUUCUUGAUUGGAUUUUAAAUUUGUUAGAAGAAGUAUGUAUGGGAUUAAUAAAUUUGUUACUCGAAAUUGACUGAUUCAUAA